rnacentral:lncRNA from 1 species
CUAAUCUUGUGGCUAGUAUAAUUUCGUUUCUGUUGUUACUUGUGUAACCUGAACCGAGGUUAGUAUCCUAUUUGCAUAUGUGUGUUUUGUGUGUUCUGUAGUCCCUGUAUUAGUUACGUACCUGUGAUAUAUAAAUGUGUGUGUGCGUGUGUGUGUGUGUGUGUGUGUGUAAUUCAUCAAAAUAUAUUGUUGUGUGAUGAUGAUAUAUGUUCAGUCUAGAGACACGUUGUUUUUCUUGCUUUGUAGAUCGAUGUGAACUAGUACUCUUGUGUGUUUCUGUUGUCACUAGUUAAAUUGAUCACCUAUGUACUACUUGUUGUAGAAACUUGUUACAUUAGUCCUUGUGCUAGCUAUGCACCUGUGAUAAAUAUGUGUGUGAUGUGAAACAUUUCUGUUCUGUCCUAUAAUAUUGUUUCCUCCCUCUUUUGCUUGUCAUUAUGCUAUAUGUGUUCAUGUCCUAAUGUUUCCCUUUAUGUUAGUUUCUAAUUUCUCAUGCCUAAUAAAAAUACCAAAAGAGAGCAAGUAAGAUCUGAUCCUCCCUUUGCUAUUUUGCCUUUUCUUUGUGGAUCAUCUUCGGGAGCAACCUUGUUUAGUUUAGGUUUAUUUUCUUGCAGCCAUAAUCUCAAUUGUGUUACCUAGAUUUAGCUGAGCAUAGUCGCCGUCGCCUAGUCCCUGAGGGGAACACGACACUCGCGAUUUGGGCGAAAUAUCCCACCGCAUUUACAAACGAUCAUUUUGGCGCCGUUGCCGGGGACUAGCAUCGAGUGACAGUGUUAGGCUAUAGACUAGGUUUUUCUUGUUUUCAUUUUGUGCCAUAUAUUUGUGAUAUAUCUCUAGCCACUAACCCCUGUUCUAGGUAGUAUCUUUUUGUCUUCUUUUCCUUUUUUGCAGGUUGGAUUAUCCUCUCGGAAAUGGCAUUCUAUUCGGAUCAUCAGGCUUAUGCGAGCAACACUACAAACAACAUGAAAAGAAUUCAAGAACUGAUAAGUAAGAUUUCCCAUCGAUUAGAUGAUUUAGCUCGGCAGCGAGAAGUAGUUUUUGUGGAUAGUCCUAGCUCUUAUGAUCCUUAUUCUGGAGGCCAUCCUUAUGUUGCUCCUACUUGCCAUAUUUGUGGAUUUCAGGGCCAUUCGCUCGCUGAAUGUCAGCGUGGUUACUCUCGCCCUCCAGAUUGUUUUGGCAUGAGCUUUGCUCAAGAGCAUAGCUCAUACCAAAACAAUUACUCACAUGGGUGGCCUGAGAACCCGAAUAUGUCAUUUAGGAGCAACAACCCUGAGAUCUUAUCAUUUGCCUCUAGUAAUCCAAUGCAGGGAUUUAGGUAUGAAGAGGAGAGCCACAACUAUGCUCCACAACAGUUUUAUUCACCUCCUACUCAUAUACCGCAGCACCAGGAGAUGUGUCCAAUGGAGUUAAAUGGUCCUCCGUUUGGUCAACCAACAACUUCAGCACCUAAUGAGUCGGUAGAGCAAUCUCAUGUGCAGGGAUUUAGGUAUGAAGAGGAGAGCCACAACUAUGCUCCACAACAGUUUUAUUCACCUCCUACUCAUAUACCGCAGCACCAGGAGAUGUGUCCAAUGGAGUUAAAUGGUCCUCCAUUUGGUCAACCAACAACUUCAGCACCUAAUGAGUCGGUAGAGCAAUCUCAUGUGCAAGUGCCCACACAAGAUGAGUUCGAUGACAUAGACAAACUCACACUUUUGAGUCUCGAGUUCACUUGGAGUGCCGAGGAUGAUCCUAUUAGGAAGGUUAUACUAGAGGAAAUGAAGAGGAUCAAGAGUGGAAAAGAGCUAGUGGAAGAAGUAAGGAAGAUUGAGAAGAGCAUCAAUGCUGGCAGCACUAUUUCUUCACAACUAGAGCUGAGUAUUUCUGGGAUAUCCUUUGAUACAUGUGAGGCUCCAACACCGUCACAUCCAGCUGAGCAAGAUAGAAAAAGUCCAGAGGAAGAGAGACCUUAGAUUGAAGUUGAACUCAAGGAACAAGAUGAUCAAGAGCUACAAUUUCCAAGUGAUCAAGUUGAAGACUCAUCAUCUACUACUCCUAAAGAAGUACAAGAAGCUGUUGUAGAUGAAGAUGAAGAACCUGAGAUUCAUUGGCCUAUUGUCAUACAUGAACCUGAUAUGUCAGGUUUACCCAAUCCUCUUGAUGACAUGCUGCCUUGUGAUUUCUUUGCUUCUAACUUGCAUUGCAUGAUGCCAUCACUUAAGGUAGAUUUGAAAAACUAUUUGCUUGGACAUGAUCAUACACACCCUGUUAGUGGCAUUGCUCAUAUCUCUGUUCAUGAUACUUAUGUUCCUGAUGCUAUACACAUGCUUAAUGAAACGUGUGAUUCUAAUACUAGCAUUGAGCUUACUGAAUUGUACCAUCCUAAACAUGUGCUUUAUAGCUAUGCUUAUGUAAUUGGGUACUCUAUUGAUGAUUUAGAGGGCAUUACCCUUGUCACUUGUAUCGCCUCCUUGGUUGAGUGCUCUUUCAGCUUGUUGCUUGUGCACGAUCCACUACAUGCUGGCCAAGUUCGAGAUGACAUUCCUUGGGACCCCGGUGGACCCAUGGCAUGGGGAUGAGGAGAAGCAAGGAGCACACAUGAAGAGAGAAGCUGUGCCGGCAUGAGGAUAGGGAAGCAAAAGGAGAGGAGUCACAAUGCAAGAGGAUGUGAGAUGAUCGAGCGAGUGCUACAUCAAAGCCCGGUGAGCUGUUUCAUGACCCAUUCCGAGUAUAUCAUCCAUUGAUGCUUGCUGAAUUAAAUUGCUAUUUGGGUUGCUUGUGCCAUUUCUUAAAUGUUGUCCCACAGAUUUUUCACCUUUGACAUAUGGUGCUUGAUGAGAAUAUGUGAACUGAUUGUUGAAUGCCUUGUAAACUAGUGAUCUACAUCCUGUUUGCUUUGCUGAAAGUAGUGAAAGCUAUUAGUUUUGAGUGCUCAAAUCCCUAGUGCACUAGUAAACUUAAUCAUUUUCUGCUUUUACCUUGAUACACCUAAAUCAUUAAGUGUCGGAUGCUGAGUUUGUGCCUAAUGUGUUCCCAUUGAGAGCAAUCACUUACCAUUAUGGAUUAGCAUGCUAUGUUCUCUGGAUCAGUAGCAUGUGAAGUAGACAUGGAUGAGUGAUGAUUCUUGAUUUUGUUCAUUUAAAAAAUGAAAAAUAUAUAUCUUAUAAUGAAUAAAUAAGUCUGACUACCUACAGUAGCAUGUCAUGUUCCCUAGAUCGGUGGCAUGUGGAAUCGGGUUAGCUUGGGCAGUAAUUAAUAAUAAAAAUGUAAUUGUCGAACCAGGUGUAUACCAUAUUCUUGGGAUCGGUGGUAUGUUCCUUUGGGGAGACAAACAAAAAAAACUAAUAAUUGGUCGAGCCGGGUGUAUACCAUGUUCUCGGGAUCGGUGGUAUGUUCCUUUGGUGAGAUCAAUAAAAUAUUAUCAUUACUUUCUUCAAAUUCAAUAAGUGCUUUCAACUGCAAUGUUGUGUUCCUGGUAAUAAGUGAUCUGAUCUCAAGUUUAAGUUUUUUUUGUUUUUGGGAUCAGGCUCUCUUUAGGAACCUUUUGGCACAAUCAGCAUUUGAACUUACUAAUCUUCUUUUAUCAUUGUAAAAGUUUAAAAUGGCCAAGUCUACUAGUAUCCUACUGCUUUGUAGCACUCUAACCAUUAAUUUUCACUAACUAAGUCUGAAGCAUGCACUGUUUAGAGAUCUACUUCACUGGGACAUUCUCCAGUCAGCUCACUGUUCAUUAUCUAGCUCUUGUCAUAUUCCUUUACUUGAGGACAAGCAAAAGUUUAAGUGUGGGGGAACUUGAUAAGCACAUUUCUUAUAUAGAAUUUUGGAACACAAAUUCAUCAUUUAUUGAGAUAUAUUGUCGGUGACGGUUGCAGGGGCGCGGGGUUGCGAGAAGAGCAGGGCUAGUAGACAGCACAAAGAUCGUUUAUCCAGGUUCGGGCCGCGAGGAUGCGUAAAACCCUAGUCCUGGUUUGGUGGGUGUAUUUCAGAGAGUUCUUGAGCUCUCGGACUAGAUGUGGUCAGUGCAUGGUUCAAAAGAGCCGAAUCCUUCUCCAGUAUGUCAUGGGCCUCCUUUUAUAGUCGGAAGGGGCUGCCACAGUGGCACACAGGAGGUGGAAAGGCGUACAGUGCCCUGAGCUUAUCGCUCGUAUUACAGGUGAUAGAGGCGAGGGUGUCCCGAUCUUUCGAUGAGAUGAUAACUAUCGAUUAGGUGGAGUCGACUUUGACGAUCCGACUACAAACGUGCACGACGUUGCGCCUUAGCAAUCGCUAAACCAACUUCGAGAGGUUAUUGACCUCGCCGGAGCACGAUCAACCUGACCACGAAGGUCUAUUCCUGCAUGCAAUCAAAGAACAAGCAAGAAUAUGAUAAUGCAAUCUGAAUAUUGCGAAUAUAGAUGAAGUAUUGAUAAAGAUAGGGAUCCAUAAGCGGUCUUGGUCUGGUCGUUGGACACAAACGAAGUACACGAAGUUGCAAUGGCUAACUUUUAACUAAACAAAUCCCAAGCAAAAAGCUACUAGAUGGAUCUACUUAUAUAGGAGCAAGGGGUGGAGGCCAAAAAGGUGGGAGGACGUCCCAAGGCAGCCUAAAACCAACCCUAGGUCGUACAAGGCUCAUGGGCCCAAGUGGAGGUGAUGCAACACCUUUGGACUUGUUUUUGACUCGGAUUUUGCUGCAGCGUCAGAUUGUUUCGUCCAUAUCUCAAUGCUCCGGACGAAUUUAAAGGUGAAUCCAAUUGGGUUGGAAAGAGGACGAAAUUUACUUUCCAACAAAAAAAGAAUCACCCAAUUCGGAGUCCGUAUGAAAAAGUUGUUGGCGUUUUGAGUCAGGUAUGUCUGUGCAGUCCGAAUCUGAAUCCAGAACGUGAGAGACUUGGACUCUAUCUUCUCUUGGCCCAAAAGUGACGUGAGAGGACUUUUUGAAUAGAACCUAAACUUCUCCUUUUCCCCUAUCUUCAUAUGUGGAUUGUAUAAAUGUCCCAUACACCUGCAAUUAGACAAAACACAAAAGUGUGUGAAGUAUUUUUGUUCUGGAUAACAUAAAUAGAUUAUUGAAUAAUUUGCACUAGAAAUCACCUGACAAAUAUGCAUGUAUGCAAUAUUUUUGGUCGUAUCCAAGGUAGUCAUGUCCUCAUCAUCCUCCCCUUCUUGAAAAUAAAGCCGUCCUCGGCGUUGCUUAAUCUGAAAUGUGGCUAACAAAAGAGACAAGGUGUACAUGUUGUAUAUGUAUAUGUCAUCCAUUUUUACUUCCCGUGGAUUUUGCACAUAUGACACAUGUAUACAUGAGUAACUUUCAUAGUUAAUAAAAUAUAAAGCCAAAAUAUUAUUACAAGUAGAAGGCAUGAAAGUAUUGCAACUCAGUUUGCACAUAUAAGUGAAGCUCUUAUUCAUAUGAAAAGAUUGACAAUAUUCAUCAUUAAACCAUCCCAACAUUGGUGAAUAAACCUUACUUGCAUUAAAUUUACAUGCUACAACAUGCUUAAAUAAGCAAACAUGCAAUAAGUCAUUUGACACAGAAUCAUCACCAAGAUUAGAGGUCAUAUCAAAAUGAUUAAACAUUGGUUCUUUUGCAUCAACAAUUAAUUCAUUGGGUCCACUCAAAAUUGUUGGUAUUUCAGAUGUUUGAUCACAUGACGCAUUCAUGACAGUAACAUGAUUCUCUAGAUUAGGUGAUGCGCUCAAAUCAAUAGGUAACUCAACACAUGAUGUAUUCAAGUUAACUAGGCAUGCAUCAUUCUCAUGUGAAGUUAUAUCAUCAAUACCUUUACAGUUACCUUGUCGUAAAGAUGUAGCUGAUGUAGGUACGGAUGAUGGCAAUGUACCAUACUCUUGAGAUGAUGUCGCGCUCACAAUCUGAGGUGUGGCUGCUCUAGUAGGUGCGACGGUGGAGGAGCCAAGCGGUGGUGGUGAGCAUGAACUAGAAUAGUAGUUGUUGUAGUCAUCCAAUGCAUCCUCCUGUAACUGUCUCUCAAAGGUACAAGCACGAACAUACAUACCAGAUACUGAAAUCGUGCCUGAAUAUCAUGGUUCAAACCACCAAAAAAUCUAUUCAUUGUAUCAUCCUCAGAUUCUUCUAUGUCACAAUGAUGCAUAUAAGAUUUGAACUCUUGGUAGUAAGCAUGAACAGUGUCGUUGCCUUGUUUAAAUUGUUCAAAUUUGCAAAGCAAUUCACGACGAUAGUAAGGAGGGAAAAAUUAUUGUCUCAUUACCUCUUUCAAAUCUUUCCAAGUUGUGAGUUGGUUAUCAAUGUUUUUCUUACAAUGCACACUCCACCAAACAGAAGCAAAACCAGUAAAUGCUCUAGUGGCAGCUCGUACUCGCUCAAGUUCAGAAAAGUCAUGGUGACUAAAAACUUGUUCUACUUCAACCUCCCAAGCUAGAUAAAUAGCAGGAUUAAAUCUACCCUCAAAUGACGGUAAAGAGAUAACCUGACCAUGUACUUGUGUGUGUUGUCCCAACUCUUGUGAUGGUGAUGAUGUGUCCGUCGUCCAAGAACUUCUAUCUCCGGAACCUGUCAUGAUUAGUAGAAACAAGAAACAAAAUUCGAGAAUAAUGUUCUGAUGAACUACUAGGAUGUGGUUGCAAAGUGCUCACAGUAAAGAAAAUAUCAAUAUCUUGCUCGUUCUUCGAUUGCUUGCAGGAAUAUACCUUCGUGGUCAGGUUGAUCGUGCUCCGGCGAGGUCAAUAACCUCUCGAAGUUGGUUUAGCGAUUGCUAAGGUGCAACGUCGUGCACGUUUGUAGUCGGAUCGUCAAAGUCGACUCCACCAAAUCGAUAGUUAUCAUCUAAUCGAAAGAUCAGGGCACCCUCGCCUCUAUCAAGUGGUAUCAGUUUUCAGGUUGCUCGGUGAGAAUUUCCAGUUUCCCCUAGAUUAGAUUUAUUUUCUUAUCUAUUGUCCAAGAAAAAGCCACAAAAAAGUUAGAUCUAUUCAUCCUUUUGUCCAAGCCAGUCUGAGCCUUUGCAAUUUUCUUUUCAUUGUUUGCAUUAUUGAAUUAUCGGUUGCAUCGUCGUGUCGAAUUGCUGGUCUUAGGGUCUAGUUCGUUUAGAGUUUCGAGUUCUGUUCACAUUAGUCACGUCGCCGCUGCAUCGUUAUCCCUUCCGCUGUCCACCACACCAUCCAUCAAUUUCCACCACGUGCUACCCAUAGUUCAUUGUCACAAUCAUAGUUGAUGUCGUUCACAUCUUCGCUUGAUCCAAUCUGCAUCUUAUCUAGUUUGUCUUAGAGGGAGAGAAAAAAAGACAGAGAAAAAAAGAGAGAAAAAAAGAAAAAGAAGUCGGAGAAAAAAAAGAGAGAAAGAAAAAGAAAAAAAAAGUGUGAGGAAAAAAAGAGAGAAAAAACAACAAAAUUGUGUGAAGUAUCCAAUAUGCAUGCAUGCAAUAUUUUUGGUAGUAUCCAAGGUAGUCAUGACCUCAUCAACAGGACAAGACACAUUUAAUGCGUAGCUUAGGUGUCCCCUUGCUUUAUUGGGGACGGGGGCGAGGCUCGUCCCGUCCGUCGCCGCUCCUCCAUGCUUUGACACGUGCCCUGGCCAGUGAGGCACAUGGUGCCAUGUAGGCAGGCAGGCAGCUGAGGUGGCGCAGUGCCGGAGCCUUCACGAAGAUCUGCAUGCCGCCACGCAGGCGCUCGAUGAGUUGGCCUGGGAGCUGCAUGUUGUCACGCAGGUGCCCGCCCAGCUGGUUGGGCUGGCAGCUGCAUGUGAACGGCGGUGGAAGCUUGGUUGGCGUGGGCCUGGCGGUGGCCCUGCUGGCGUCCGUGGUGAGGGCCUUGCCGUGUGGCCCGGCAAGGGUCUUGCCGUGGCGCGCUAUCGUCCCCAGCGAGGGCCUUGCCGAGGGUCUGGUGGCCUUCCUCGGCAAGGAUCUUGCCGAGGAUCGUCGUCUUCUAAUUCUCAUCUGAUCUUGAAUAUGUCUUCACAAAGAUCUGCAUGCCACUACGGAGGUGCCUCCCGAGCCCUGGCCCAACGUGAUGUUGGAGAUCGUGGGCUCAAGGGUGGCCCGCUCUGUUGGUGCAGGGCGAGCUGUUCCGGCAAGGAUCUUGUCGGGGCUGCUGAGGCUGCCCCGGCAAGGGUCUUGCCGGGGGAACCUGCUUCAUCCCUCUGCUCUUUGUGGUCUUGGCCUUGACGUUGCUCUUAUUAUCUUGGGCUUUGGUCUUACCUUGGCUCACCUCCCCUGUUCUGCUUGGCGUGACCGUAGGCGCGGCUCCGACUGCCCGUGCACAGAUAUAGGGGUACAAAAACGCACCCCUUUUUUUGGACACCGACAGAAGCCCCCGGGCCUGGGCCACACAUAAGCGCGAUACGUUGUUGGGCCAGGCCCAAAACGUGCGCGGGCAGGCGGGGCGGUUUUUACCGCGGUAAAACUUUUCGCGCGUUGCGCUUCCAACGGCCCGCGCGGCGUGGAGGGGUGUGCGUGACGUGGGCGCCAUGCGUGGGACGGUUUCCACACGCAUGCGUCACAUCGCAGUAAAAAGGCGGCUCGCGCCUUCCCCGUAAAAAGAGGGAGGCGUGGAGGCGUGCUACCUCUUGAGCACUGCGUUGCUUUUCCCUUGAAGAGGAAAGGGUGAUGCAGCAAAGUAGCGUAAGUAUUUCCCUCAGUUUUUGAGAACUAAGGUAUCAAUACAGUAGGAGGCUACGCGCGAGUCCCUCGCACCUGCACAAUACAAAUAAAUCCUCGCAACCAACGCGACAAGGGGUUGUCAAUCCCUUCACGGUCACUUACGAGAGUGAGAUCUGAUAGAUAUGAUAGGGUAAUAUUUUUGGUAUUUUUAUGAUAAAGAUGCAAAGUAAAAUAAAAGCAAAGGCAAUAACAAAGUGUUGGAAGAUUAAUAUGAUGAAGAUAGACCCGGGGGUCAUAGGUUUCACUAGUGGCUUCUUUCAAAAGCAUAAGUAUUUUACGGUGGGUGAACGAAUUACUGUUGAGCAAUUGACAGAAUUGAGCAUAGUUAUGAGAAUAUCUAAGUAUGAUCAUGUAUAUAGGCAUCACGUCCGAGACAAGUAGACCGACUCCUGCCUGCAUCUACUACUAUUACUCCACUCAUCGACCGCUAUCCAGCAUGCAUCUAGAGUAUUAAGUUCAUAAGAACAGAGUAACGCCUUAAGCAAGAUGACAUGAUGUAGAGGGAUAAAUUCAUGCAAUAUGAUAAAAACCCCAUCUUGUUAUCCUCGAUGGCAACAAUACAAUACGUGCCUUGCUGCCCCUACUGUCACUGGGAAAGGACACCGCAAGAUUGAACCCAAAGCUAAGCACUUCUCCCAUUGCAAGAAAGAUCAAUCUAGUAGGCCAAACCAAACUGAUAAUUCGAAGAGACUUGCAAAGAUAACCAAUCAUACAUAAAAGAAUUCAGAGAAGAUUCAAAUAUUGUUCAUAGAUAAUCUUGAUCAUAAACCCACAAUUCAUCGGUCUCAACAAACACACCACAAAAAGAAGAUUACAUCGAAUAGAUCUCCACGAGAGAGGGGGAGAACAUUGUAUUGAGAUCCAAAAAGAGAAAAGAAGCCAUCUAGCUACUAACUAUGGACCCAAAGGUCUGAGGUAAACUAUUCACACUUCAUCGGAGAGGCUAUGGUGUUGAUGUAGAAGCCCUCCGUGAUGGAUGCCCCCUCCGGCGGAGCUCCGGAACAGGCCCCAAGAUGGGAUCUCAUGGGUACAGAAGGUUGCGGUGGUGGAAUUAGGUUUUUGGCUCCGUAUCUGAUCGUUUGGGGUACGUAGGUAUAUAUAGGAGGAAGAAGUACGUCGGUGGAGCAACGUGGGGCCCACGAAGGUGGAGGGCGCGCCCUGGGGUGGGGGGGUGGGCGCGCCCCCUACCUCGUGGCCUCCUGGAAGCUUCUCUGACGUAAGGUCCAAGUCUCCUGGAUCAUGUUCGUUCCAAAAAUCACGCUCCCGAAGGUUUCAUUCCGUUUGGACUCCGUUUGAUAUUUUUUUCCCGCGAAACUAUGAAAUAGGCAAAAAAAAAUAGCAAUUCUGGGCUGGGCCUCCGGUUAAUAGGUUAGUCCCAAAAAUAAUAUAAAAAUGGAUGAUAAAGCCCAAUAUUGUCCAAAACAGUAGAUAAUAUAGCAUGGAGCAAUCAAAAAUUAUAGAUACGUUGGAGACGUAUCAAGGCGCGACUCAUUUAUUGAACGGGGCCAGGGCGCGGUCUUCAAGGCAUCCACUCCCCACGAUCACGGGGUGGGGAGAGGUUGCUUCGCCCGUCCCCUCGGUUCUGCAUGUAUGCCACGCGUCCUCCAUGCACCUAGGGUGGCAAGCGGUGGAGGCGGGAAACCGGGCCGUCGCUGGUUGGGGCAGCGGGUCGGUCCUGAUUCCCCGUGGCUUUGGUGGCUGGAUUGGCCGAGUGAGGCGGCCGAGCCCCGUCCCCGCCUCCUUAUAAAGAGGGGGAAGGGGGGAUGGCAUCCCACACUCUUCCGUCAUCUAUCUCCACUCGCUUCUACUUCUUCCUUUCACUCGCCAUGGAGAAAGGGAAUCAUGGUCCCUCAACGGUGGCGGCGAGGGUCGCCGCCCGACAGCACGUCCCUCCUCCUCCUGAGCCCGCGGUGGUGGAACCGGCCGCGUGGGGAAGGGGGAGGGGGCGAGGUCGUCGGCGAGGCCGGGGCAGAGGUCGUAGUGCUCGGGGAAGAGGAGGACGGGGCGGCGCACCGGCUUCACCCCCGCCAAUGAUGCCUUUUCCAAUGGAAGGCCAUGUUGGAGACCAGCCCCGUGAAUUUUUCAUCAGGCUGCGCUGGCCUUCGCGUCGCCGUCUUCGUCUUCCCGCCCCGUUCGCUCGGGAGAUGGAGUGUGACCCGCCCCAGUCCCUCAGAUUGCACAUGAGGGGUUGUGGGAAUGGGGGCACGCGGGUCGACGUCGACUUCCCGGCUCCCCGGGUCAUGUACCUCCGUCAUGGGUGGAAGACGUUCGCUCGCAUCCACAGCCUAACGGCGGGGCUCGUCCUCUACUUCAAAUUAAUGGAGGACGACCUGCUCUCCGUCAAGGUCUUCGGCGACUUCGGGACUCGCCUGAAGUGCUGCGUGGAGAGCUCCUCCGAUGGAGAUUCCGACGAUGGAAGCUCUACCUCGAGCGAAAGUGAUGAGGAGGACAACGGGGCAGACGGCGGGGACGAGUCCGACUAGGCGUCGGACGCCUGGUGCCUGGGCGGGUGCGGCAGCAGCAACAUCUGCACUUGGCCGCUCCUCCGGCAGAGUUUUGCCGGGGGUGGGGCCAGCUCCUUGAACUUCUCGGGGCCGUCUCCUUGGGCGGCUGGCGUCGAGAGGCUGCGGAAGAGGAAGAGGGCGGGCGGCAACGCCGUUAACUCGGAGUACGCGGGCACCGACGCCUUCGUGGCGUACUGCCGGUCCUGCCGCCUCGUCUUCCAGCUCCUUUCCCGGCACCGUCAUCACCGGCCCGCCCCUGGGCGGUCACCAAGGUGUUCUCUUGGUGCUUUCUGCCGCUCGUAGCUCGCCUAGGCGCCCCUUUUGCCCUUUCGCCUCAUUGACCUGCCUCCUGAGGAGAGGGACAAGAAAGGGAUUACGGGCAUCUUAUCCUUCUUCUUUAGUUUGUAAGCCUGCGGGCCUUUGUUAAAUUUAGAACUUGUAAUCCCCUUGCUCAUGUUUUUCAUUUCGUACGAACUGUACCUGUAUGGGAUGUUUUUAAUGAAAAAGGGAUGCUUGCCGGGUUUUUCGUUCGUGGGUAAACCCCGCGACAAGGAGCGAAUCCUUGUUAUUGUUUAAGAUAAACGUUUUUCGCCCGGCAACAGGCCUUGCCGCCCCCCACUCCACUCGACCGUUCUCGCGCUCUUGGCGGAGGCAGGGAUGAAGUGGGCUUUAGGCUCCUCGUUCUACCUCCUUGCCGCCGCGGCUACAACCAAAUCCGGACCUAGGAAAUAAUCCUUAGGUAUAGGAAAAAGGGGAGCACGACAGCCUAGAGAUAAAAACGAGGUUUCACAUGCCCCAGUCCUGUUCUGAAAUGCAUGACAGAGGAUAAAAGACUUAUCUGGAUCUGCAGCCCCCAGCAAUCUCAUCUUGCCGCGGUUGGAACCUUGUGCUUGCAGCCCCCGGCAACUCUGGUUUACCGGGGUCGGGACGCCGGUCCGUUUUCUUUCUUCCAAGUAGCUCGACAGAAGUGCUCAUGUGCCCUGCGAACCAAAGGAGGACGGAAGAGAAACAGAUAGACGCGCAUUCGACCUCUAAGCUAGGGGUUAGUCGCUGCUGAGCACUAUCAACCCUAACCAAGGAAGAGACUCGACCUAGCAUGCAUGCUAUGACUGAGGGCGCCAGCGCUUCAUUUAUUUAUGCUCAGGGUCUGUGCCUGGCUUUGUACGAAGGGUUACAUGCCUUGCCGGCAAAGCUUGUACAAAAGGUGGCUUGCCGGGAGGCCCAGCAAGCCGCGCCUUAUGGGUAAAACUUGCGAAGAUGCUCGAUGUUCCAGGAGUUCCUCACUGGGAUGGCAUCUUCGGUCUCCAGGUGGACUGCGCCGGGCCUGGUGACUCGUAUUACCCGAUAAGGGCCUUCCCACUUCGGCGUCAACUUGUUGGCAUUCUCGGCCGACUGAACGCGCCGAAAAACAAGGUCGCCUUCCUCAAAGCUUCGGGCAUGAACCUUGCGGCUAUGGUAGCAGCGCAAGGCUUGCUGGUAGCGCGCUGCUCUCACAGCCGCCCGAAGACGAUCUUCCUCAAGGAGCGUCGCAUCAUCUUGGCGCAACUGCUCUUGCUCAAGCUCAUCAUAAGCGAGCACUCGAGGUGACCCGUAUAUGAGUUCCGUGGGGAGAACUACUUCUGCCCCGUAGACCAGGGCAAAAGUUGUCUGGCUGGUGGCUCGAUUUGGCGUCGUCCUGAUCGACCAAAUAACCGCCGGCAAUUCAUCAAUCCAGCGCCUUCCGCUCUUGCGCAGCUUGUCAAAAGUCUUUGUCCUUAGGCCUCGCAACACUUCAGCAUUCGCCCUCUCCGCUUGGCCGUUGCUCCGUGGGUGUGCCACGGAAGCAAAACAGACCUUGCUGCCGAGGUCUUGAAUGUAUUGCAUGAAGGUGUGGCUCGUGAACUGCGUGCCGUUGUCGGUGAUGACUCUAUUUGGCACACCAAAACGGCAGACCAGUCCUUUAAAAACUUGACAGCUGACUGAGCAGUCACCUUUCUCACUGCUUCCACCUCCGGCCACUUUGUGAACUUGUCGAUUGUAACGUACAAGUAUUCAAAGCCCCCGACAGCGCGGGGGAAAGGGCCCAGUAUGUCGAGCCCCCAGACCGAGAAUGGCCAGGAGAGAGGGAUUGUUUGAAGGGCUUGGGCUGGUUGAUGAAGCUUCUUUGAAUGAAACUGACACGCUUCUGUAACGCCCCGGAUCCGAUGCGCCAGGUGUCACACAGUUAUUCGCUGUCGUUGCCAUGUCAUUUGCUUGCGUGUUGCAUUUUGCCAUGUCAUCAUAUGCAUUUCAUAUCAUGUCAUCAUGUGCUUCGCAUUUGCAUACGUGUUCGUCUCAUGCAUCCGAGCAUUUUCCCCGUUGUCCGUUUUGCAAUCCGGCACUCCUAUGUCACCCGGCGCCCCCUUUUGUCUUCUUCUCGUGUGCGGAUGUUAAACAUUUUCGGAAUGGACCGAGUCUUUUCAAGUGGCCUUGGUAUACCACCGGUAGACCACCGGUCAAGUUUCGUUCCAUUUGGAGGUCGUUUGGUACUCCAACGGUUAACCGGGUAACCGCAAAGUCCGUUUUGGUAUUGCAGCAAACCCCCCUUUCAAACAGCCACAAAACCCCUCUAAGUCCCUGUCAUGCUCUCGGUCGUUCGAUCACGAUCGCGUGGGCGAAAACCGCACCCCGUUUGGACUCUCCUAACUCCCUCUACCUAUAUAAACACCCCCUCCCCGAAAUUUCGGAUCAAUUCCACCCUAACCCUAAUAUUUUUCCCUCCGCGCCGCCGGACGUUUCGUCCUCCGCAGCCGGACAUGUCCAUUUCGCCGCCGCCGCCGCCCGCGGCCAAUCGGCACGCGCCACCUGUCCNNNNNNNNNNNNNNNNNNNNNNNNNNNNNNNNNNNNNNNNNNNNNNNNNNNNNNNNNNNNNNNNNNNNNNNNNNNNNNNNNNNNNNNNNNNNNNNNNNNNNNNNNNNNNNNNNNNNNNNNNNNNNNNNNNNNNNNNNNNNNNNNNNNNNNNNNNNNNNNNNNNNNNNNNNNNNNNNNNNNNNNNNNNNNNNNNNNNNNNNNNNNNNNNNNNNNNNNNNNNNNNNNNNNNNNNNNNNNNNNNNNNNNNNNNNNNNNNNNNNNNNNNNNNNNNNNNNNNNNNNNNNNNNNNNNNNNNNNNNNNNNNNNNNNNNNNNNNNNNNNNNNNNNNNNNNNNNNNNNNNNNNNNNNNNNNNNNNNNNNNNNNNNNNNNNNNNNNNNNNNNNNNNNNNNNNNNNNNNNNNNNNNNNNNNNNNNNNNNNNNNNNNNNNNNNNNNNNNNNNNNNNNNNNNNNNNNNNNNNNNNNNNNNNNNNNNNNNNNNNNNNNNNNNNNNNNNNNNNNNNNNNNNNNNNNNNNNNNNNNNNNNCGACCCCGCCGCCGGCGCCCGCGCUGCCGCCGGCCAUCGCCCCGCCGUCGCCUGGCCUGGCCUCCCCUCCACUCCGGCCGCCGCCGAUCGACUCCGGCGAGCCGGCGCCCGAUCCAGAACGAGCCCGCGUUGACUUCGUUCCCCCCCUCGAGGUCGUUAUUUUUCUAAGUCCCCAGUUCUUAUUAAUAUGUGCACAUGUUCAACUGUGUGUAACUUCAUGCAUGUAGCUCCGAUUCGCGCGUAUAAUAUGUCGAAUUGUUCGUCCCGUGAUGCUCUACAUUUUGUUCAAUUGCACCAUGUUCAUUAGAGGUCAUCUUGAUGCCUUAAUCAUCGUUGCAAGAGGGCUAGUUGCUGUUAUCUGCUGAUUCUUAUCAGAACUUGGAGAUUUGUCAUUUUUGUAUCAUUUAAUCUGUGCAUCUUUUGGGCAUGACCUCUACAUGUGUUUUGAAGUAUGCCAUGCCAUCUUUCCAGUGGUGUAGUCCAUGUAUUUGUGUGAUCUCUGUGGUGACUAGCACAAGCACGCAAAGUAGGCCCCGUAAUAUUUCUGAUUUCAGGGACUUAGUGAUUUCUCUAAGUCCUUGUCUGCUGUAAUUUUGUUGCCUUGUUAACUUGAUGCUACAGAGAGAUCCAUGCAUAUUUUGGAGAUGUUCAGUAAGGAUGUUUUGUAGAUAUUGUUAUAAUUGAUCCAUUACUGCCCUUGUUUGCAAUUAUGGUGUGCCAUAGCAUGUCUCAAUCUUGCUCUACUUUUGCUAUAAAAUAUUUCUGGCAGAUUCUUAACAUGAUAUGCAAUCUUGCCAAGCUUAUUGUAAUUGAUCCAUACAUGCUAUGAUUAUACUCUUGCCAUGGUUAGCUUCAUAAACAUGCCAUCUUGCUGUAGAUAUACUUAGGUUAUCAUUCAUUGCUCUGUAGUGAGUGCAUCAAGCUCACAAAGAGGCCUACAUAUUAUAGUUUCUGCCAUGCUCUGUUUUUUGCCAAGUCUGAAACCAGAUAACGAAACUUGCUAUGUUCACAUGCUUGCCAUCAUAUCUUCUGGUCCUUUUUCGCUUAUGGUCAGUAAGGGACUUUUGUUAUAUGCUUUGAGUAGAUUCAUGCCAUGCCUUUCUUUGCUAUGUUAAGUCCCUGUAGCAUGUUGAUUUCGUGCUCUGAACAUUGCUACCUGAUGCUGUUUCUGUCAUGUCCAGUAAUUCUGCCAAGUCUGUGAACCUGUUAUUAUUUGCAAUCUUGCCAUGUCCUUUUGAGCAUUUUCUAUUGAUUUCUGGAGAUAGCUCAGUGUUCAUGUUUUGUUGUGCUUUACCUGUACAUCAUGUCCUUGUCUUUUGUUUUCAUGUUGAGUUGCUGUAGCAUAUUGUUUUGAUGCUUGCCAUAUGCCUAGUUGCUGUUUUGGACAGAUUGUUGCUAUGUCUUGUUUGGAGUGUAUGUGUUGCACCGUUGCUCCGUUUUGAGCAUGCUCUAUAUGAAACUUGCUUAGUUUUGCAUGUAGUCUCAUAUUAUCAUGUUGCAUCCUUGUGUUGAGGUGUGUGCUUGAUGUUUGUAUGCAUUUUGCACCAAUGCCAUGCUCAUCUUGUCUUGCUCAUAUCUUCUAGGCCGUAGCUCCGAAUCUAAUGAACUUUAUAUGUAACUUGACUAGAAUUUCGUGUAGAUCAUCAUGGUGCUCUUUAACUUGCUGUUUAACAACUUUAACUUAAUGCUUGUUCAGUUCUGGACCAAUUUUGAAAUUUGCAUAUGAGGACUUACCGGAAUUGUUAUGUGUUGUUUCCGGCCUCAUUUAAACUUGCCUUGAUGUGUUGCUCUUGUAUGCAUCCUUUCUUGCCGUGUGUAGCCUCAUAUUGCCUUGUCAUGCAUCAUUCUUGAUUGAGCAUCAUGCCUUGUUCAUGUGUGGUGUGUUUACCUUGUUGUGUGUUUCUUCUCGAUAGCUCCUGUGUCGUUGCGAUCGUGAGGAUUCGUUCGUCUUCGUGGCUUCAUCUUCUUCAUGGAUUCGUUCUUCUUCCUAGCGGGAUUUCAGGCAAGAUGACCGUCACCUUGGAUCUCAUUACUAUCAUUGCUAUGCUAGUUGCUUCGCUCUAUCGCUUUGUUGCGCUACCUAUUCACUUGUUCCUCAAGCCUCCCAUUUUGCCAUGAACCUCUAACCUUUGUCACCCUUCCUAGCAAACCAUUGUUUGGCUAUGUUACCGCUUUGCUCAGCCCCUCUUAUAGCGUUGCUAGCUGCAGGUGAAGAUGAAGAUUGCUCCAUGUUGGAUUAUGUUUAUGUUGGGAUAUCACAAUAUCUCUUAUAUUAUUAAUGCAUCUAUAUAUUUGGUAAAGGGUGGAAGGCUCGGCCUUAUGCCUGGUGUUUUGUUCCACUCUUGCUGCCCUAGUUUCCGUCAUACCGGUGUUAUGUUCCCGGAUUUUGCGUUCCUUACACGGUUGGGUGAUUUAUGGGACCCCCUUGACAGUUCGCCUUGAAUAAAACUCUUCCAGCAAGGCCCAACCUUGGUUUUACCAUUUGUCCAGCCUAUUUCUUUUCCCUAGGGAGUCGCUCUCUCGAGGGUCAUCUUAUUUUAACCCCCCCGGGCCAGUGCUUCUCUAAGUGUUGGUCGAACUGAGUAGACUGCGGGGCCACCUCGUGGAAACUCGAGGUCUGGUUUUACUCGUAGGAUGUCUCAUCCGAUGUUGCCCUGAGAACGAGAUAUGUGCAGCUCCUAUCGGGAUGUCGGCGCAUCGGGCGGCUUUGCUGGUUUUGUUUUACCAUUGUUGAAAUGUCUUGUAACCGGGAUUCCGAGACUGAUCGGGUCUUCCCGGGAGAAGGAAUAUCCUUCGUUGACCGUGAGAGCUUAUCAUGGGCUAAGUUGGGACACCCCUGCAGGGUAUUAUCUUUCGAAAGCCGUGCCCGCGGUUAUGUGGCAGAUGGGAAUUUGAUAAUAUCCGGUUGUAGAGAACCUGACACUUGACCUUAAUUAAAACGCAUCAACCGCGUGUGUAGCCGUGAUGGUCUCUUCUCGGCGGAGUCCGGGAAGUGAACACGGUUUCUGGGUUAUGUUUGACGUAAGUAGGAGUUCAGGAUCACCUCUUGAUCAUUGCUAGUUUCACGACCGUUCCUUUGCUUUCUCUUCUCGCUCUUAUUUGCGUAAGAUAGCCACCAUACAUUGCUUAGUCGCUGCUGCAACCUCACCACCUUAUCCUUUCCUUUCCCUUUAAGCUUUGCUAGUCUUGAUACCCAUAAUAAUGGGAUUGCUGAGUCCUCGUGGCUCACAGUUUACUACACCACCAGUUGCAGGUACAGGUUGUGCGAUGAUCAUGACGCGAGAGCGAUGUGUACUUGUUUUGGAGUUCUUCUUCUGCUUCUUCUUCGCUCAGGGGAUAGGUUCCAGGUCGGCAGCCUGGGCUAGCAGGGUGGAUGUCGUUUGAGUCUCUGUUUAUGUUUCAUCCGUAGUCGGAUGUUGAGCUUAUGUAUGAUGUAUUGAUGUAUCCUUGCGGCAUUUGUAUGCCUUGUAUGUAUCCCCAUAUAUUUUGUAAUGUCGAUGUAAUGAUAUCCACCUUGCAAAAGCGUUUCAAUAUGCGGGUCUAUCCUUGGUGGGACCUUCGAGUUCCUGUAGGAUAGGGUCGCAUAUUGGGCGUGACAGCUUCACACUUGGUUACUAGUGCCGUCGCAUCCUGGAGGGCGGUGGGCCAGAAAAAACCUUGUCGGAACGCCUUCCCGGCAAGGGCCCUUGACCCUAUGUGGGAGCCACAUAUGCCUCCAUGUAUCUCCGCCAACAGCUCCAGUCCUUCUAACUGGGGGAUGCACUUCAAUUUCAUGCCAUUCGGCCUUCUCCUGUACAGGACAUCAUCGACGAACUGGUACAGGGCGGACCGACGGGCUACUUUCUCCGCUUCUUCCUGCUCCUCAGGAAGCUCCCCUGUUUGGAGGAAUCGAACGGUAUGCUGCGCCCAUGCCGGAGCCCGGGCUCGACGACAAGGACCAAAGGCAUUUCUUCCGCCAUGGGAGCGGCUGUCUCUACGGCUAGGGCUUGACGCCCUGCCGGAGGUAGCUACUCUUGGGCAGGCUCGGCGUCCGUGGCGGCACCCUUGCCGGCAGCCCCAGAGGGUUCGGUAGGAAAGUACUUGCCGGGACCCGACUUCCUUCGCUUGUUCUGCCCCGUUGAUGGUUUGACGGAUGGUUGAGUUAGCUGGAGCAAAAAGGUACCUGGUUCCACAGGUAGCUUGAAUGCGGCACACUUUGACAGGUAAUCGGCGGUGUCGUUCUCCAUUCGGGGGACGUGCUCCGCUAGGAUACCGUCAAAGCGCUCCUCCAGCUUCCUCACUUCAUCUACGUAGGCUUCCAUCAAUGGGCUUUGGUAAUCCUUAUUGACCUGCCUGACAACAAGCUGCGAGUCACCCCUGACGAUGAGCUUCUUAACCCCGAGGUCUGCCGCGAUCCUGAGACCGGCAAGCAAUCCCUCGUACUCAGCAGUGUUGUUGGUGGACAUCUCUCGGGGAAAGUGCAUCUGGAUCACGUACUUGAGGUGCUCCCCGGUAGGUGCGACGAGUAGCACACCGGCAUCGGCGCCUUGCAGCGAGAAAGCCCCAUCAAAGUACAUGAUCCAGUCGCGAUCUUCCUCCUUGCCGGGGAGUGUGGUCUCCUGGAUUUCUUCGUCAGGUGUUGAGGUCCAUUCUGCAAUGAACUCCGCCAAGACUCUGCUCUGAAUUGUCGAGGUACUUUCAAACUUCAAACCGAAACUUGACAACUCUAAGGCCCACUCCACAAUCCUCCCGGUUGCAUCCGGGUUAUGCAGUAUCCGUUGCAAAGGGAGGCGGGUGACGACAGUGAUCUCGUGGGCUUGGAAGUAAUGACGCAGCUUCCUCGAGGCCAUAAGAAGGCCGAAGAGCAAUUUCUGCACACCGGAGUACCUCGAUCUAGCCCCCUGCAAGAGGGAGCUGACAAAGUAAACCGGGUGCUGCAUCAUCUUCUUCUUCUGCACCACCCCACUUGACUGCGCGGGCACUGCCUCGGUGGCAUCAGACUCUGCCGGGGGCCUCGCCUUGCCGGCACCAGGCCCUGCCGGGGGAAUCUUGGGCUUGCCAUCCGCUGGUUCUGCCGCCGUCACUGCCUCCUCGUUGACCUCCCUCUGUGCCACUAGCGCGGUGCUGACCACUUGAUUUGUCGCCGCCAGAUACAGCAGCAACGGCUCUUGUGGUUUAGGCGCAACCAGUAUUGGCGUGGAGGAAAGGUAUUUCUUCAGAUCCUGCAAUGCUUCCUCGGCUUCUGGGGUCCAUUCCAUUGGGCCUGCCUUCUUCAAGAUUUUGAAGAAAGGAAGGGCGCGCUCGGCGGACUUGGAGAUGAAUCGGCUCAUGGCGGCAACGUAGCCGGUGAGCCGACGCACAUCCUUGAUCCGCUUGGGCGCCUCAAUCUGCUCAAUAGCCUUGAUUUUGUCUGGGUUUGCCUCGAUUCCGCGCUGCGAUACAAAGAACCCGAGAAGCUUGCCGGAUGGAACGCUGAAGACACACUUCUCAGGGUUCAGCUUGAGGUUGAUCUUGCGCAGGUUGGCAAAUGUCUCUUCCAGAUCUUCCACAAGAGUUGGCCCGUCCUUGGUUUUGACUACUAUGUCAUCCAUGUAGGCCUCCAUAUUUCUAUGGAGCUGAGGUUCAAAACCAAUUUGGACUGCUCUUGCAAAUGUUGAGCCAGCGCUCUUCAACCGAAAGGCAUCCGUAAAAAGCAAUACGUACCACAUGGGGUGAUGAACGCUGUCUUUUCUUCAUCCUCUCUUGUCAUGAAGAUAUGGUGGUAGCCCGAGUAGGCGUCGAGGAAUGACAACAGAUCACACCCGGCCGUGGAGUCAACAAUCUGGUCGAUGCGCGGCAACGGGAAGGGGUCCUUAGGACAAGCCUUAUUGAUAUCUGUGUAAUCAAUACACAACCUCCACUUCCCAUUCGCCUUGCGCACCACUACCGGAUUGGCCAACCACAUCGGGUGGAGCACUCCCCUCACCAAACCUGCCGCUUCCAACUUCCUGAUCUCCUCCGUGAUGAACUCCUGCCUCUCCAGAGCCUGCUUUCUGACCUUCUGCUGGAUGGGCCGCGCAUGGGGGCUGACAACUAGGUGGUGCUCAAUCACCUCCCUGGGAACAACGGGGAUGUCGGAUGCUUUCCAUGCAAACACGUCGACAUUCGACCGCAGGAAGGUGACGAGCGCGCCUUCCUAUUUGCUACCGAGGGUGGAGCCUAUGGUGAAGGCCCCUCCCGUGCCAUCCUCCCUGGUGGACACCUUCUUGGUUUGCGGCGGCUCGGCUCUAGAUCUCUUGCUCUUGUCGGUAGAGCUCUCUGGCACGGCCUCGACGGCAGCACAACACUCCGAAGAGGUGCGCUUGCCGGAGUGGGUGCGAGAGGUCUUGCCGGGCUUCUUCCUCCCUCCCGGGGCUUCAGCGGCAGGAGCAGGUGCCUUGGCGGCAGCUGCUGCAACUGCCUCCCGGUAGAGUUGGUCGGCGCAAAUCAGCGCGUCCUUCUUGUCGGAGGGGACGGAGAUGAUGGUCAACGGCCCGAGCAUCUUUAGCAUGUUGUAGGCGUAGUGUGACGCCGCCAUAAACUUGGCUAGUGCCGGGCGGCCGAGGAUCCCGCUGUAGGGCAAGGGGAUCUCGGCCACGUCGAAGACGAUCCUCUCCGUCCUGUAGUUCAACUCUCCUCCAAAUGUCACGGGCAGUGUGACCUUUCCCUUCGGCUGGCUCCUCCCCGGAUUGACCCCUUGAAACGUGCCCGUUUCCUCGAGGUCUCCAUCAGGGAUUUGCAACCUUUUGAUCACGACAGGCGAGAUCAGGUUUAGGCCGGCCCCGCCGUCAACCAACAUCUUGUUCACCCUGAAGUUGCGUAUUGUUGGUGAGACCAACAAUGGCAAACACCCGACCGCGGUAGUGCGGUCAGGGUGGUCUUCGGCGUCAAAGAUGAGGGGCGUGCUGGACCACUUCAGCGGCUUCUGAGCGUCGAACGACGGCUCUUCUGCUGUAAUCUCACGCGCCCACUGCUUGAGCUAGCGGUGAGAGGUAUGCAGCGAGGCGCCGCCAUCGACGCACAUGGCCUCCGUAGCCUUCUGGAACCCUUGCUCACCAGACUCGUCGUCCUUGUCGUGAUCAUCGUCUUCUUGUUUCUUGUCGCGGCCCCGGGCGGGCCUCUCUUGCUGGUUGUCCUUGCCGGGGUAGCCUCCUUGGCCGCCACGCUUCUUGCCGGAUCCCUCAGCACCGUCCUGGUCCUUCUCCUUGUCCCGCCUCUCGUACUCAGCCUUUUGCUUCUUAGGAAGCAGCUCGACUUGUCGGCAGUUCUGGAGGUCGUGGCCCUUGGUGCGGUGGAUCUUGCAGUAUUGCUUGCCGGAGCUCCCUGGCUUGUCGGUAGCUGCCAAGGCCCGGCAGGCGGCGCACCAGGCAAUCUCCUUGUCGGGAGCGCCUGCCUUGACCUUCUUGCCGGCACCGGUGUCGCCAGAUCCCUCAACGGCAAGCACGGCCUUACCCUUGCGUUUCCUGUUGUGACGCCGGCCCUUCUUCGUCGGGGUAGCGGCGUCCUCAUCGGUAGAGUCGGUUUCCGCGCCGGCGUCUUCGCCGGGGUACUUCCUUCCCUCUUCAGCCCGGGCGCAUCUAUCGGCCAGAACGUAGAGCUCGGCCACAUCCUUAAUCUUGGUCAUCGCCAGCUCCUCGCGCAUCUUGCGAUUGCGCACGUUCUGGUGGAAUGCGCUAAUCACAGCGGCAGGAUGAACGUCGGGGAUGUUGUACUGCACCCGGCUGAAUCUCUGGAUGUACUUGCGCAGGGUCUCCCCUUCCUUCUGGGGAAUGAUAUGCAGAUCACUGGCCUGGCCAUGAGCUUGGUGGCCUCCUGUGAAGGCGCCAACGAACUCAUGGCAUAGAUCCGACCAAGAAGAAAUGGAAUCCACCGGCAAGUGCAUCAACCAAGACAUCACAUUGGGCUUGAGCGCCAGCGGGAAAUAGUUGGCAAGCACCUUGUCGUUGCGAGCCCCAGCCUGCAUCGCGAUGGUGUAGAUGCUGAGGAACUCAGACGGAUGGGUCUUGCCAGUGUACUUCUCGCCGACGUCGGGCUUGAACGUGCGGUGGGACGACCACUGGAACUGCUGCAGCUCACGGGUAAAGGCCGGGCAGCCCACCUCGUAAGGUAGGCCGCCGGAGCCCCCCGGUGCCGGGUGGUCCAUAGCGGGUCCCGCCCGCUUGUCCGACUGGCGGCGCGUUUCGCGCCGGCGCUCGACGGUGGUUCGAGCGUCUUUGUGAGCUCGUUCCCGAAGGACCUGGCGCUGGUCGCGGAGGGUCCGCGGGUCGGAUGACACUAUGGAGAUGUUAUCACAAGCGUCGUCACGACGGGCUGAUGCCCGCGGCGGCUGGCGAGGAGGAGGAGAGUGCACCGUGGGCGCAACUCCCCCGGUCCUCCCAGCGCCAGCAUGCGGUGGCUCGGUGGAGCGCCGACCCGAGGGUCCCGCCGGUCGUGGAUUGUCUUUAUUGGCGACGGCGAUGAGGCUUCGGGUGGUGGCCCUCCACUCGUCAAGCUUCUCCGCAGCAGGAGGGAAGUCGAGGAGUAGCUGUGCGCGCGCCAAAGCUUCUGCCGGCGUGGGCGGCGGCGACAGCUACGUGGAUCGCGGCGCGCUUCGACUUCUAACUACGUUAGAAGGAGCUCCGUUACAACCCAGCGGCUACGUGCCAUUUUCGCCAGCGCUUCGGCGGGCGUGCUGAACCCCUUCAUCCUGCGGACGACGCACUGGGCUCUUCCCACGGUGGUGCCCAGGGUCACCAACGCGGUGACGCUGCUCGACACGCACACCAUGGAAGAGCGCACAGUGGUCGCCGGUGUGGGCGUCCUGGAGGUCGCUGCGCCGCCCGGAGGUGGCACAACGACACCCCUGGAGGGCCCGCGCCGCCUACGGGGGGCCCAGCUCCGUCUUUGGAUCCGGCGACGUGUAGCCGGUCGUCUGGUGCGCGAACGACGUCGCUCGCCAGGCUCUGACUACCAGGGCGUUGCUGGUGCUCGCGGACCGCGACCCGGGUCCUGUCUGUGACCGGUCCACUGCCCGCCCGCACCGGCACGGGCCGUUCGGCUCCCAACGAGCCGACCGCCGUGGCUGUCUUCUUCUUAGGAGCCAUGGCGACGAAGAACUACUAGGCUAACUACUAGACCAGAUUCUCACAAUUGCGCCCCCUACCUGGCGCGCCAAAGAUGUCGGUGUGGAACGACACCUACGGGAUCACAAGAAUCCCUACUACGGUUGCCGGGGUGCGGGGUUGCAAGAAGAGCAGGGCUAGUAGACAACACAAAGAUCGUUUACCCAGGUUCGGGCCGCGAGGAUGGGUAAAACCCUAGUCCUGCUUUGGUGGGUGUAUUUUCAGAGAGUUCUUGAGCUCUCGAACAAGCUGUGGUCAGUGCGUGGUUCAAAAGAGCCGAAUCCUUCUCCAGUAUGCCAUGGGCCUCCUUUUAUAGUCGAAAGGGGUUGCCACAGUGGCACACAGGAGGUGGAAAGGCGUACAGUGCCCUGAGCUUAUCGCUCGUAUUACAGGACAAGAUGCAUUUAAUGCGUAGCUUAGGUGUCCCCUUGCUUUAUUGGGGAUGGGGGCGAGGCCCGUCCCGUCCGUCGCCGCUCCUCCUCGCUUUGACACGCGCCCUGGCCAGUGAGGCGCGUGGUGCCAUGUAAGCAGGCAGGCAGGCAGCAGAGGUGGCGCAGUGGCGGAGCCUUCACGAAGAUAUGCAUGCCGCCACGUAGGCGCUUGAUGAGUUGGCCUAGGAGCUGCAUGUUGCCACGCAGGUGCCCGCCCAGCUGGUUGGGCUGGCAGCUGCAUGUGAACAGCGGUGGAAGCUUGGUUGGCGUGGGCCUAGCGGUGGCCCUGCUGGCGUCCGUGGUGAGGGCCUUGCCGGGUGGCCCGGCAAGGGUCUUGCUGUGGCGCGCUGUCAUCCCCGGCGAGGGCCUUGCCGGGGGUCUGGUGACCUUCCUCGGCAGGGAUCUUGCCGAGGAUCGUCGUCUUCUAAUCCUCAUCUGAUUUUGAAUAUGUCUUCACAAAGAUCUGCAUGCCACCACGGAGGUGCCUCCCGAGCCCUGGCCCAACGUGAUGUUGGAGACCAUGGGCUCAAGGGUGGCCCGCUCUGUUGGUGCGAGGCGAGCUGUCCCGGCAAGGAUCUUGCCGGGGCUGCUGAGGCUGCCCCAGCAAGGGUCUUGCCGGGGAACAUGCUUCGUCCCUCUGCUUUUUGUGGUCUUGGCCUUGGCGUUGCUCUUAUUAUCUUGGACUUUGGUCUUACCUUGGCUCACCUCCCCUGUUCUGCUUGGCGUGACCGUAGGCGCGUCUCCGACUGCCCGUGCACAUGUAUAGGGGUACAAAAACGCACCCUUUUUUUUGUACACCGACAUAUAUCUAUCCAUUCUUGCUACGACUUGUUGAAUAUUCGAAUGAUAAUCAUAAAAGAGAAUGUUGACUAGUGAAUUGUUUAUUUUGCAGAAAAGUGCGCAAAGGCACUAUAAUCGUCAAGAUUUCUACUAUGUGGCUAACGAGAAGAGACAAGGGUAUGAAAGAAAUACGUCAAGGCCUGAGCGUGAAGGAAAGAAGUAAUGUAGGGGAGCAAACUAAAAGAAGAGGAGGAUCUUCUUGGGCAUAAAUGAAGAGAAGAGGAGGGCCAAUGUGCAAAUGUGGCAGAUCAGAGAGGGGAAUGAAAUCCCUAGCGGCACCUCAUUGCAAAUCGGGCCUGGCCACAUCUCCAUCUCUCUCCCCCUCACCACUUCUUCCACCACCGGCCGCCGCCGCGGCCAGGCCGGCGUGGCGGCGCGCCACCAACACCACCGCGCCAUAGCACCACCCAUAAUCUCCAUCCAUCUGCGCCUCCCGGCCACCCAUCAUUCCCUCCAUCCACAGCGCCGCCAGAACCCAUCCAUCAUCACCUCCAGCCGGCGCCGCCGCCUCGCCUACAGCCAUCUCCCUGCUGUCCGCUGCUCUCCUCUUCUUUCCAACCUUCUUCUCCUCACCAUGCUGCUGCUCCUCCCUCUCAAUCUCUACUGCUGCUCUUCCUUGCCCCCCCACCCCCCCGUGCUGCUGCCUCUCCUUCCCUUCGUUGCUUGCUGCUUCUCCUUUGAUCCCUUUGCUACUGCUCCUCUUCUUCGUGCCCAACCUCCGCUGCUGCUCCUCUUUCCUGCUGCUACUCCCUCUCACCACGCCUCUGCUGCUCUCUUUCCCCUCCUGCUGCUGCUCUCCUCACCAUGCUGCUUCUCCUCUUGCUGCUGCUGCCCGCCCCCGACCUCCUCCUGCUAUCUCUCUCUACUUCCCCUGCUACCUUUCUUCUCUGAACCUACCUACUGCUUCUCUCUCUCUCUGAAAUUGCUGUAGUACUAAGAUUUGUAAGACAGUGUACUACAACCUGUUAAUUGUUCAGUUCAGAUUUUUGCUUGUUUAGUAUUAUUCUGUUGAUCUGUGCUAAUCUUGUGGCUAGUAUAAUUUCGUUUCUGUUGUUACUUGUGUAACCUGAACCGUGGUUAGUAUCCUAUUUGCAUAUGUGUGUUUUGUAGUCCCUGUAUUAGUUACGUACCUGUGAUAUAUAAAUGUGUGUGUGCGUGUGUGUGUGUAAUUCAUCAAAAUAUAUUGUUGUGUGAUGAUGAUAUAUGUUCAGUCUAGAGACACGUUAUUUUUCUUGCUUUGUAGAUCGAUGUGAACUAGUACCCUUGUGUGUUUCUGUUGUCACUAGUUAAAUUGAUCACCUAUGUACUACUUGUUGUAGAAACUUGUUACAUUAGUCCUUGUGCUAGCUAUGCACCUGUGAUAAAUAUGUGUGUGAUGUGAAACAUUUCUGUUCUGUCCUAUAAUAUUGUUUCCUCCCUCUUUUGCUUGUCAUUAUGCUAUAUGUGUUCAUGUCCUAAUGUUUCCCUUUAUGUUAGUUUCUAAUUUCUCAUGCCUAAUAAAAAUACCAAAAGACAGCAAGUAAGAUCUGAUCCUCCCUUUGCUAUUUUGCCUUUUCUUUGUGGAUCAUCUUUGGGAGCAACCUUGUUUAGUUUAGGUUUAUUUUCUUGCAGCCAUAAUCUCAAUUGUGUUACCUAGAUUUAGCUGAGCAUAGUCGCCGUCGCCUAGUCCCUGCGGGGAACACGACACUCGCGAUUUGGGCGAAAUAUCCCACCACAUUUACAAACGAUCAGCGAGGCUCAUCGUCGUCCUUGCUAGGCGGCCCUUUCCCCUUGUGCUCGGUGUUUAGCUUACCGACCUGUUUGAAGACCCAACAAUUUUUGCUGGUAUGAUUGGCAGGCUUGUCAGGGGUGCCAUGGAUCUGGCAAGGCCGAUCGAGUAUUCUGUCCAAACUGGAUGAACCAUCUUUGUUUCCUUUGAAUGGCUUCUUUCGUUGACCGGGUUUAGAGCCACUGAAUCCAGCGUUGACCGCCGUAUCUUCGGUAUCUUCAUU